rnacentral:misc_RNA from 1 species
AUAUCUCUGCCCUGUUUGGUCG